rnacentral:lncRNA from 1 species
CUUGAAAUGGGCUGAGUCCCUCUUGCUCACCCUUGACUUGGAAAAACCAGUUUCUCUUUUAUUGUCUGUUACUAAUCUCUAUUCUAAAAAUUCAGCUCAAUUCUCAACCAUACUCCAAACUCUCUCUUUUCCAGCUACCUUUACUCCCUCUCCUUCAAUUCCACUUUCCUCUGCUUACUUUUUUUUUUUUUUCUGACAGGGUCUCACUUUGUCGCCCAGGCAGGAGUGCAGUGGCUCAAUCUUGGGCUCACUGCAGCCUCAACCUCCCAGAGGCGGGGUUUCACCAUGUUGCCCAGACUGGUCUUGAACUCCUGAGCUUAAGCAAUCCACCUGCCUCGGCCUCCCAAAGUGUUGGGAUCACAGGCGUGAGCCACCGCAUCCGGCCUCAUGUUCUUUUUCAUUAAAGAGAGAAAUCAACUAUUCAGGACCGGCCCCCACCUUUCCUCAGGAGUCAUUUCUGUUCUGCACAGGCCUGCUGAACUGGGUGCUUUAUAUAGGACACUGUCAUCUCUCAAGUACCCAUCUUGGAGGGUACGGACCCCACAUGAGGGUGAGGCUCUCUGCACACUCCAGAAAAGGACCAACCACACCGAGCUCAGUUAUGGCACACACAGUGGGACCUAGACAAAGGGAGAGGGUGACCGGCAUCCCAACUAGAUUUCAGUGGAGUGAAGUUCAGGAGGCAUGGAGCUGACAACCAUGAGGCCUCGGCAGCCACCGCCACCACCGCCGCCGCCACCACCGUAGCAGCAGCAGCAGCAGCAGCAAGAGUAACUCUGACUUAGGAAUAGAGACAGCCAGAGAGAAAUGUGAUCAAUGAAGGAGACAUCUGGAGUGUGCGUGCUUCUUCAGAGGGACGGGUGAUGGGCAGAUUGGAAAAAGCACCGCAGAUGGGAACCUUAAUCUUUCUUUUCUAAAAUUGAUGCUAUGAAAAUUUGCGUUUUCUGUAACUUGUAAAAACUAAAGUUGCUU